rnacentral:tRNA from 1 species
GCGCUCGUAGCUCAAUUGGAUAGAGCAGCGGACUUCUAAUCCGCAGGUUGCAGGUUCGAGUCCUGCCGGGCGUG